GUGAGGCCAUCCCCAUCGAGACGUCAGACGAGUCUGUGAAACGGUGAGUCGGUGACCUUGCAACAAUUGCGAGUCGACAGGGCGGCGAGACGGUGAGGUUAGUGCGACUUAAUCUGGUACUAUAGUUGAUUUCUUCAUUUGAGUUGGUGGAAAUGCAAUCCAAUUUGCACAAAGGUGAGCAUUUUGAUUUCUUUUCUUUCUAUUAUUUCAAGCCCUAAUUUCCCUAGUGGUUAAAAUUGCACUAUUACAUAUCUCUAAUGUAUUAAAAAAUGUAAAGAUUGUUUUACAGAAAUUAGAGAGUUGGUAAGAAUGCUGUGAGUUACACCUGUGGCUUUACAAUUAAUGAUUUCCAAUCACAAUCAUGGGCUAGAAUUCAGUUAUCACUCAAUCAUGAAUUUUUCCCUAGUACGUCUGAUAGGAUUGUUAUGAUAUCUAGAGCUGUUGAUAACAUACUCAAGGCGGGAUCUCAUCCUUGCUAAAUUACUGGAUGAGUUUUUUGUCGAUGACGGUGGUGAUUCUGAGCCACGAUCUAAAUUUAGAUUAAUUGUACCUAAUGGUUCUUGUGGUGGAAUAAUAGGGAAAGGAUGAGCCAUCAUAAAUUUUCUCUAAGAUGGUGUGAGAUAAAAUAUGAAUGGAGGGAACAAAUGAUAUGCUCCUUUCUUUAUUUGAGGUUUCAAUUGUGGAGAGGCUUCAUUGUGUAGGUGGAUUCUUAACAAGACGAGAUUAUGCAGAAGCCAUGUCUUGUAUUUUUUGGUUUAUUGAUUGAUUGUAAAUUUGUAAUUUUAUAAUUUUAUAAUAUAUUAAUAUGAUA